AAAUAUUUAGCUUAUUCUUUACUCGGACUUAUUUUUCAGUUGAACCAGCUGGAAAUAGACAUGCUUGGAUUACAUUGCAUGUAAUUUCUAUGCUACACAUCCAUACUUGAUCUAUGUCAUUUGAUUAUAUUUGUAUUCAUGAUCAAGAAAAGUUAUGUACAUAUAUAUGUGUGUCGUCUUGACCCAAAUGUAACAAAAGCCGCCUUGGUCCAAUAUUAACAUGAUUGAUGGACGAGAUUGUUUGGAGGUACUUUGGUUUAUGAUAGCAAAUAUGUUUGAGCUCAUAAAUGUGACAUACAAUUAUGUACAUAUACAUAUAUGUGUCGUCCAAGUGAGAGAUUGUAAGAGUUUAUGGAUUUGCACAUACAUUUUGUAUCAAGAAUAAUUGUAUGUUGGUUGCUAUCAUUAGAAGGUUGACCCAAAUUAAAAGUGAUCUACAAAGGUUUAAAGUUAAA
rnacentral:lncRNA from 1 species